rnacentral:misc_RNA from 1 species
GCAGGUUUAACAGUACUACUUUCUCUUCCAUUGGAGUAGUAGCUCAAUUUCAUUCUCUCUUCUGCUGGAGCUUAUGAAUUAGUUGCCUGUUGUGCUGAAUCUGUUCACAUUUAUAUAAUCUGGAGGAAUUUGGAGCAUGGCUUUGUCCAUUUCAAGGAGGAUUUUGCGUUCUUUCGCUUCUUUGAACUCACUUCGAACACUUUCUGCUUCUAAUGUGAAGGCUAAUAUUCUAGGGGAUGGAGUAUCUUGUGUGGAAUCUUCGGCCUUCAGAAAGGAUGAAUCAUUGUUCCUCGCGUGUCGAAGAUAUUCAACUUCCUUGCUGACUCCUGAUUCCAGUGACGGUUCAUUUCCCUCGGAUUUAUUAUCCAAGAAACGUGUCUCAACUCCAGAGCGUGAGAUAGGGCUCCUUCAGGACCUGGUCAUUCCAGUAACAAACUUCAAUAAUGAAGACAAGGGCUUUAUGUGUUUGGCUGGUGAUGUCUUUGAUGUGCCAAUCAGGAAAGAUAUUAUUCAUCGGGUUGUGAGAUGGCAGCUUGCAA